AUUGAACGCUGGCGGCGUGCUUAACACAUGCAAGUCGAUCGGUAACGCGGGGGCAACCCUGGCGACGAGAGGCGGACGGGUGAGGAACGCUUGGGAAUCUGCCUAUCAGCGGGGGACAACACGGGGAAACUCGUGCUAAUACCGCAUACGCUCUACGGAGGAAAGCCGGGGACCGCAAGGCCUGGCACUGAUAGAUGAGCCCAAGCCGGAUUAGCUAGUUGGCGGGGUAACGGCCCACCAAGGCGACGAUCCGUAGCUGGUCUGAGAGGACGAUCAGCCACACUGGAACUGAGACACGGUCCAGACUCCUACGGGAGGCAGCAGUGGGGAAUAUUGGACAAUGGGGGAAACCCUGAUCCAGCGACGCCGCGUGGGUGAAGAAGGCCUGCGGGUUGUAAAGCCCUUUCGGUAGGGACGAAAGCUCUCGACCUAACACGUCGGGAGGUUGACUUAACCUACAGAAGAAGCACCGGCUAACUCUGUGCCAGCAGCCGCAGUAAAAC
rnacentral:rRNA from 1 species